rnacentral:rRNA from 1 species
GAUCGAUGAAGAACGCAGCCAACUGCGAUAAUUAGUGCGAACUGCAGAAACCUUGAACACAAAACUUUCGAAUGCACAUUGCGCCACUGGAGUUACAUCCAUUGGCACGCCUGGUUCAGGGUCGUUAUCAUAAAAGGCACUGCUGUGCCUGUUAUGUUGGUGAGAUCAUGUCGGCAUGACGUGUUCUUGCGCUAUUCUUGAAAAUGCUCGGCCGUGGAGUGUGGUUGUGUUGGCGCGAAACUGUCAGGUUCUUUCGCGUUUUACGGUCCGUAACUAGGACGCAACUGCUCGCCAUGUGUGCUGGGUGGAAUGCUUCGCUGGUAGGCAUUCCGUGUUUGAAUUUUCGACCUGAACUCAGACGUGAGUACCCGCUGAACUUAAGCAUAUCAUUUAGCGGAGGA